rnacentral:misc_RNA from 1 species
GAUGAAGAACGCAGCGAAAUGCGAUAAGUAAUGUGAAUUGCAGAAUUCAGUGAAUCAUCGAAUCUUUGAACGCACACUGCGCCCGCCAGUAUUCUGGCGGGCAUGCCUGUUCGAGCGUCAUUUCAACCAUCAAGCCCCCGGCUUGUGUUGGGGACCUGCGGCUGCCGCAGGCCCUGAAAAGCAGUGGCGGGCUCGCUGUCACACCGAGCGUAGUAGCAUACAUCUCGCUCUGGGCGUGCUGCGGGUUCCGGCCGUAAAACCACCUUCAUAACCCAAGGUUGACCUCGGAUCAGGUAGGAAGACCCGCUGAACUUAAGCAUAUCAAUAAGCGGAGGA